rnacentral:rRNA from 1 species
UACGAAGGGUGCAAACGUUGCUCGGAAUUAUUGGGCGUAAAGCGCACGUAGGCGGCUCGGAAAGUCCCAUGUGAAAUCCCACAGCUUAACUGUGGAAGUGCAUGGGAAACCUCCGAGCUUGAGUACUUAAGAGGAUCGCGGAAUUCCCGGUGUAGAGGUGAAAUUCGUAGAUAUCGGGAGGAACACCAGUGGCGAAGGCGGCGCACUGGACCACAACUGACGCUGAGGCGCGAAAGCUAGGGGAGCAAACAGG